rnacentral:lncRNA from 1 species
CACCCCCACAGCAACACACAACUGUCACACACACACUGUACAUAUACACAAGCACACCCCCACAACACACACACACACACACACACACACCACUGUAAUAUACACAUGCACACCCCCAAAGCAACACACAACUGCCACACACACUGUACAUAUACACAAGCACACUCCCACAGCAACAUGUACUUACAAACACAAAGAAAUGGAGGCUUGGAGGGCCUCGACUGAGGAAAGGAGCGUGAAAGGGAAAUGUAUUGAAGAAGUGGGUGGAGCAGUGGUUCUUACCAUUCAGGGAACCUUGGCAUUAUGGGUAACUCACUAGAACACCCAUACUGUCCCCUGUGUGCUCACCCUCAGGGUGAGGUGCUGGGAUUGCCAUUCUUAACAGUUUCUUUGGGUGGCUGUUGGGAUUGGGGACCUUUGGAGUUUUACUAUUUCUGUUUUGACCCCAUAUCUGUAAUUUGGUAGUCGGGGAUCACAAUUUUACAAAACAUUUGUACUCUAGGCUCAAUCACACACAAAACAGAGAUAAUGGUAAUUUAAUGGGUGUAAGGCUGAGCUGAUGUUCACAAACAUAUCUAGUGUAACAUUAAUUUAUCUAAGCACUCAGUUUCCUUCUUUUUUAUUUUUUCUUGGCAAGAACAAGCAUUCUUUAUUGCCUCCAUGGUCCCUUGUUAAAUUUACAUAACUUAGGUAAAACUGUUAUUUCAUUUUUUGUAUUAGAUAUUUUCUUUAUUUACAUUUC